AUUGAACGCUGGCGGCAUGCCUUACACAUGCAAGUCGAACGGUAACAGGUCUUCGGAUGCUGACGAGUGGCGAACGGGUGAGUAAUACAUCGGAACGUGCCCGAUCGUGGGGGAUAACGGAGCGAAAGCUUUGCUAAUACCGCAUACGAUCUACGGAUGAAAGCAGGGGACCGCAAGGCCUUGCGCGGACGGAGCGGCCGAUGGCAGAUUAGGUAGUUGGUGGGAUAAAAGCUUACCAAGCCGACGAUCUGUAGCUGGUCUGAGAGGACGACCAGCCACACUGGGACUGAGACACGGCCCAGACUCCUACGGGAGGCAGCAGUGGGGAAUUUUGGACAAUGGGCGCAAGCCUGAUCCAGCCAUGCCGCGUGCAGGAUGAAGGCCUUCGGGUUGUAAACUGCUUUUGUACGGAACGAAAGACUCUUUCUAAUAAAGAGGGUCCAUGACGGUACCGUAAGAAUAAGCACCGGCUAACUACGUGCCAGCAGCCGCGGU
rnacentral:rRNA from 1 species